UGGGGAAUAUUGGACAAUGGAGGGAACUCUGAUCCAGCAAUUCUGUGUGUGUGAAGAAGGUUUUAGGACUGUAAAACACUUUUAGAAGGGAAGAAAAAAAUGACGUUACCUACAGAAGAAGCAAUGGCUAAAUACGUGCCAGCAGCCGCGGUAAUACGUAUGUUGCGAGCGUUAUCCGGAAUUAUUGGGCUUAAAGGGCAUCUAGGCGGUAAGACAAGUUGAAGGUGAAAACCUGUGGCUCAACCAUAGGCUUGCCUACAAAACUGUUGAACUAGAGUACUGGAAAGGUGGGUGGGACUAAACGAGUGGAGGUGAAAUUCGUAGAUAUGUGUAGGAAUGCCGAUGAUGAAGAAAGCUCACUGGACAGAAACUGACGCUGAAGUGCGAAAGCUAGGGGAGCAAACAGG
rnacentral:rRNA from 1 species